rnacentral:misc_RNA from 1 species
UACAGCUCUCACUUCCCCACUCAAUCCGUCGACCCUCUCCUUCCUAAUUGCCCCCUUAUUCUUCCCUUAUUUACCACCAUGCCCUCUCCAUAAUAGACAUUUGCAUUUCUCAUAAGGCCAAAACGAAAUAAUUGAUUUUUUUGCUGAAAGGGAGGAGGUUAGGGAAGCUCUUUAACUCGGGCAGUGUCAAGAUGCUGGAGAGGUGCCUCGGGACGCACCGAGUCCUUCGUAUUCACCGAGCGAUUCGCCAGGGAAAGCUUACCCUCCUUUGCCUCUUCAUGACCGUCGUCGUCCUACGUGGCAUCAUCGGCGCCGGUAAAUUUGGUACUCCAGAGCAGGACUUCAAUGAACUCCGCGAUCGUUUCUACGCCUCCCGCAAGCAUGCUGAGCCCCACCGAGUCCUCGUCGAAGC